UGGGAAGUCUCACCCCCAGAGGAUCUCCUGGAUGCGAUGCCAGAUUCCAGGCAGGGCCGUUGGCGUCUACAGCACUACUGGACAGCGUACAGAGACCAGGCCUACUCUGUGCAGUGGAGGCAGGAGUGGACGUCUCCCCGCAAUCCUCCUCCGGGGCUCCCACGGCGAUGCCAGGCACGCGAGAAAGUAAGUGGUCACUUAACCCCGAAACUUGGAACUGGAGCAUUUCUGCCUGCGUCUGUUUGGCCAGAGCGGGUUGCAUGGCCAAGCCCAAAGACAAGGGGUGGGUGCACCCCUCUCCACCUACGAGGAGGUCGUGGUGAGGGUGCGGAUGUGGGGAUGGUGAGUAUGUGGAGCGAGUGGCCCGGCAGUCCUCAUGGGCCACUGAGCACUUGGGUUUCGUUCGUGAUUCGUUCUUGAGUCGGUGACCUCCAGCGUCCCGCGUGCCCCGCGAGCACUGCCUGGAGCCAGGGCCGGUCGGCAGCGGGGCGACUGUCGGGGCCCAGGUCUUACCAUUGCGUUCGAGGCAGCGUUGUCCGUGAGCCACCGUGUGUGUUUGACGAACACCGGACCUCCGCGGCGCCCAUCCGGGACGGCGUGCUUGCCCACCUGCUCUCAGGACGUCCGCCCGGGCCGCCCCGCCGCUCUGACUCAACCUGCGGUACUUAAUGAGAAGUUGCCCGUGUUUUUUUCGCUUUAUUUGUGACGAAACAUUCGCGGUGCACUUCUUUUUCAGUAUCCAAAAUCUGCCUCGAGGACUGCUGGCUUCGGGCGCCGACUUCGGGGAAGCCGCGUCUGCUCCGGCCGUAGUGGGCUUUGGUCGAGAUCUCGGCCCCCCUGCAUGUGUUCCUUCCCCUUCCUCAGUUUCCCCUGGCUUCUGUCCUGAAAGCUCCCCCUCUUCCUGCCACGUGGCCCGGAUUGGACUGAAGCCCCUUCCCCCACCCCCCAGGUGCCCCAACCCUACACACAGCACCCCGGGUUAAGUGAGUUGCUUUAUCUCUUCCCCUUUGCUGUUGCGAUGGAUCCAAAGGUGGGCCCCUAACUCCACUGAGCUAAUGAGAUGCCAGGUGUUUGCCGAGGCUUCUGGGAAAGGAAAUAUUUCUCCAUCUCCUGUGAGAGAUGCCAGAGUAGAUCCUGUAUUUCCCAUCAGCCAUGUGAUGUGGUAAUGUGAGCCUUGAUGCUCCCAUGGCCAUUUAAUGACCGAGAGGAGAGUGCCUGAUUCUGUGCAAGGCCGGGCUGUGCAGACCCAGAGACGGAAAUGUGUACCAUAAAAGGCAGUGAUUAGGGAGUUAGCCGGGAACCAGGACCUGGAUGAUAUUGUUUGAGCCCCUGGAUCAAACUGUACCUGAAGCUUGCCCUGCCUCUUCACUUUCACAUUAUUUAGGCCUAUGAGUUGCAUGAAGCCUAAAAAUCUAUCGUU
rnacentral:lncRNA from 12 species